rnacentral:rRNA from 1 species
GACGUAGGAGGCGAGCGUUGUCCGGAUUCAUUGGGCGUAAAGAGCACGCAGGCGGUUUGGCAAGUCGGAUGUGAAAACCCGGAGCUCAACUCCGGACCUGCAUCCGAAACUGCCCGACUAGAGGUAUUCAGGGGAGAACGGAAUUCCUGGUGUAGCGGUGAAAUGCGCAGAUAUCAGGAGGAACACCGGUGGCGAAAGCGGCUCUCUGGGACGGUACUGACGCUGAGACGCGAAAGCGUGGGGAGCAAACAGG